rnacentral:rRNA from 1 species
UGGGGAAUCUUGCGCAAUGGCCGAAAGGCUGACGCAGCGACGCCGCGUGUGGGAUGAAGCAUUUCGGUGUGUAAACCACUGUUGCCCGGGACGAGCAUCCUCUUUCGAGAGGACUGACGGUACCGGGUGAGGAAGCAACGGCUAACUCCGUGCCAGCAGCCGCGGUAAUACGGAGGGUGCGAGCGUUGUCCGGAAUCACUGGGCGUAAAGGGCGCGUAGGUGGCCUGUGGAAGUCUGCGGUGAAAGCCCGGCGCUCAACGCCGGGUCGGCCGUGGAUACUCUCGGGCUUGAGCUCACUAGAGGCAGAUGGAAUUCCGGGUGUAGCGGUGGAAUGCGUAGAGAUCCGGAAGAACACCGGUGGCGAAGGCGGUCUGCUGGGGUGAUGCUGACACUGAUGCGCGACAGCGUGGGGAGCAAAC